rnacentral:rRNA from 1 species
AUUGAACGCUGGCGGCAGGCUUAACACAUGCAAGUCGAGCGGGGUGAUGGUGCUUGCACUAUCACUUAGCGGCGGACGGGUGAGUAAUGCUUAGGAAUCUGCCUAUUAGUGGGGGACAACAUUUCGAAAGGAAUGCUAAUACCGCAUACGUCCUACGGGAGAAAGCAGGGGAUCUUCGGACCUUGCGCUAAUAGAUGAGCCUAAGUCGGAUUAGCUAGUUGGUGGGGUAAAGGCCUACCAAGGCGACGAUCUGUAGCGGGUCUGAGAGGAUGAUCCGCCACACUGGGACUGAGACACGGCCCAGACUCCUACGGGAGGCAGCAGUGGGGAAUAUUGGACAAUGGGCGGAAGCCUGAUCCAGCCAUGCCGCGUGUGUGAAGAAGGCCUUAUGGUUGUAAAGCACUUUAAGCGAGGAGGAGGCUACUUUAGUUAAUACCUAGAGAUAGUGGACGUUACUCGCAGAAUAAGCACCGGCUAACUCUGUGCCAGCAGCCGCCGCCGUA